rnacentral:rRNA from 1 species
AAGCGCUUGUGACCAGACUUGCGUCCGGUGAAUCACCCAGCUCUCGCGGCUGGGGCACUUCGCCGGCACAGGCCAGCAUCAGCUUGCCGUCGGGGACAAAAGCUUCAGGAACGUGGCUCCUCUCGGGGAGUGUUAUAGCCUGUUGCAUAAUACCCUUCGGCGGGCUGAGGUACGCGCUCCGCAAGGAUGCUGGCGUAAUGGUCAUCAGCGA